GACGAACGCUGGCGGCGUGCUUAACACAUGCAAGUCGAACGAUGAAGAAGAGAAACGCGAACUUCGGUUCAACUUUCACUUCGGAUUAGUGGCAGACGGGUGAGUAACGCGUGAGCAACCUACCUCUUACAAAGGGAUAGCCUCGGGAAACCGUGAUUAAUACCAUAUGACACAUUCAUAAGGCAUCUUAAGAAUGUUAACGCUACGGCGGUAAGAGAUGGGCUCGCGUCCCAUUAGCUAGUUGGUGAGGUAACGGCCCACCAAGGCGACGAUGGGUAACCGGGCUGAGAGGGUGAACGGUCACAUUGGAACUGAGACACGGUCCAAACUCCUACGGGAGGCAGCAGUGGGGAAUAUUGCACAAUGGAGGGAACUCUGAUGCAGCGACGCCGCGUGAGCGAUGAAGGAAUUCGUGUCGUAAAGCUCUGUUCUAUGGGAAGAAAAGGACUGUACCAUAGGAGAAAGCCCCGGCUAAAUACGUG
rnacentral:rRNA from 1 species